rnacentral:tRNA from 1 species
UCGCUCAUAGCUCAGUUGGUAAAGAAUCUGCCUGCAGUGCAGCAGACCUGGGUUCGAUUCCCGGGUGGGGAA